rnacentral:rRNA from 1 species
GCUAAACGCGAAGAACCUUACCAAGGCUUGACAUGGAUUUCUAAGCACGUGAAAGCGCGUGACCCUUCGGGGGACUUCCACAGGUGCUGCAUGGCCGUCGUCAGCUCGUGUCGUGAGAUGUUGGGUUAAGUCCCGCAACGAGCGCAACCCUUGUGACUAGUUGCCAGCGGGUCAUGCCGGGAACUCUAGUCAGACUGCCCAGAUCAACUGGGAGGAAGGUGGGGACGACGUCAGGUCAGUAUGGCCCUUACGCCUUGGGCUGCACACGUACUACAAUGCCCAGUACAAUGAGAACCGAUGCCGCGAGGUGGAGGAAAUCUGUAAAACUGGGCCCAGUUCGGAUUGGAGGCUGCAACUCGCCUCCAUGAAGUUGGAAUCGCUAGUAAUGGCGCAUCAUCCACGGCGCCGUGAAUACGUUCCCGGGUCUUGUACACACCG